rnacentral:tRNA from 1 species
AGGGCAGUAGCUCAACUGGCAGAGCACUUGAUUCCAAAUCAAGAGGUUGAGGGUUCGAUUCCUUCCUGCCCUGCCA